rnacentral:rRNA from 1 species
UAGAGGGGACGGAGUACCUUUGGUAUAAUGGGUCAACGACUGGGUCUAUCUAGCAAGAUUAAGCAGUUAGGUGUAGGCGCAGCGAAAGCGAGUCUUAAUAGGGCGUCUUAGUUAGAUGGAUCAGACCCUAAACCGAGUGAUCUAGGCAUGGCCAGGAUGAAGGUGCAGUAACACGCACUGAAGGUCCGAACCCACAUACGUUGAAAAGUAUCGGGAUGACCUGUGGCUAGGGGUGAAAGGCCAAUCAAACUCGGAGAUAGCUGGUUCUCCGCGAAAUCUAUUUAGGUAGAGCGUCAUCCGAAUACCCCGGGGGGUAGAGCACUGGAUGGGUAAUGGGGCCCCACAGGCUUACUGAUCCUAACCAAACUCCGAAUACCCGGGAGUACUAGAUGGCAGACACACGGCGGAUGCUAACGUCCGUCGUGGAGAGGGAAACAACCCUGACCGACAGUUAAGGCCCCCAAUUCAUGGCUAAGUGGGAAAGCAGGUGGGACGACCAAAACAACCAGGAGGUUGGCUUAGAAGCAGCCAUCCUUUAAAGAUAGCGUAACAGCUCACUGGUCUAAAUAAGUUGUCCUGCGGCGAAGAUGUAACGGGGCUCAAGCCAUGAGCCGAAACUUCGGAUGCAUUUAAUGCAUGGUAGCGGAGCGUAGUGUGACAUAGUUUCCUGUCUUUUUUGAUCCCUUUGGGGUCAUGGGAGACGCGAAGCUUUCUGUGAAGCCGGGCUGUAAGGCAUCCGGUGGAGAGAUCACUAGUGAGAAUGAUGACAUGAGUAGCGACAAAGAGUGUGAGAGACACUCUCGCCGAAAGUCCAAGGGUUCCUGCUUAAAGCUAAUCUGAGCAGGGUAAGCCGACCCCUAAGUCGAGGCCGAAGGACGUAGACGAUGGGAACCAGGUUAAUAUUCCUGAGCCAGGAGAUGGUGACGGAUUGUGAAGGUUGUUACUCCUUAUUGGAUUGGAGGGGCCGCUGAUCAGUCCCUGGAAAUAGCCCUCCAUAAGAUCGUACCCUAAACCGACACAGGUGGACUGGUAGAGAAUACCAAGGCGCUUGAGAGAACUACAUUGAAGGAACUCGGCAAAUUGCUCCCGUAAGUUCGCGAGAAGGGAGCCCAACCUAUGGGCAACCAUUGGUUGGGGGCACAAAAUUGGGGGUGGCGACUGUUUACUAAAAACACAGGACUCUGCGAAGCCGCAAGGCGAAGUAUAGGGUCUGACGCCUGCCCGGUGCCGGAAGGUUAAAAGGAGGUGUGCAAGCACCGAAUUGAAGCCCCGGUAAACGGCGGCCGUAACUAUAACGGUCCUAAGGUAGCGAAAUUCCUUGUCGGGUAAGUUCCGACCUGCACGAAUGGCGUAACGACUUCCCCGCUGUCUCCAAUGCAGACUCAGCGAAAUUGAAUUCCCCGUGAAGAUGCGGGGUACCCGCGGUCAGACGGAAAGACCCCGUGCACCUUUACUAUAGCUUUGCAGUGGCAUCAGGAAGCCGAUGUGCAGGAUAGGUGGGAGGCUUGGAACUUGUAGCGCAAGCUAUGAGGGAGCCAUCCUUGAGAUACCACCCUUCUGCUUUCUGUUGUCUAACCGAGAUCAGUUAUCCUGGUCCGGGACCCUGCAUGGUGGGUAGUUUGACUGGGGCGGUCGCCUCCCAAAUAGUAACGGAGGCGUGCG